GGCCCGCUAGCUCAACUGGAUAGAGUACCGGUUUUCUACCCUGGAGGUUCCACGUUCGAAUCGUGGGCGGGCCACCA
rnacentral:tRNA from 1 species